rnacentral:rRNA from 1 species
UGGGGAAUUUUGGACAAUGGGGGCAACCCUGAUCCAGCAAUGCCGCGUGUGUGAAGAAGGCCUUCGGGUUGUAAAGCACUUUUGUCCGGAAAGAAAACGCCGUGGUUAAUACCCGUGGCGGAUGACGGUACCGGAAGAAUAAGCACCGGCUAACUACGUGCCAGCAGCCGCGGUAAUACGUAGGGUGCAAGCGUUAAUCGGAAUUACUGGGCGUAAAGCGUGCGCAGGCGGUCCGCUAAGACAGAUGUGAAAUCCCCGGGCUUAACCUGGGAACUGCAUUUGUGACUGGCGGGCUAGAGUAUGGCAGAGGGGGGUAGAAUUCCACGUGUAGCAGUGAAAUGCGUAGAGAUGUGGAGGAAUACCGAUGGCGAAGGCAGCCCCCUGGGCCAAUACUGACGCUCAUGCACGAAAGCGUGGGGAGCAAACAGGAUUAGAUACCCUGGUAGUCCACGCCCUAAACGAUGUCAACUAGUUGUGGGAUUCAUUUCCUUAGUAACGUAGCUAACGCGUGAAGUUGACCGCCUGGGGAGUACGGUCGAAGAUUAAAAA